rnacentral:rRNA from 1 species
UACGUAGGUGGCAAGCGUUGUCCGGAUUUACCGGGCGUAAAGAGCGCGCAGGCGGUCGUUCAAGUCGAGUGUGAAAGCCCCCGGCUCAACUGGGGAGGGUCACUCGAUACUGAUCGACUCGAAGGCAGGAGAGGGAAGCGGAAUUCCCGGUGUAGAGGUGAAAUUCGUAGAUAUCGGGAGGAACACCGGUGGCGAAGGCGGCGACCUGGGUAGAUACUGACGCUGGAGGUGCGAAAGCGUGGGGAGCAAACAGG